AGUGCAACUUCAACUUCAGAAGUGAGCCUGGAGAAUACCAGCAGAAGGGCAUCACAGCCAAUCUACAGGAUCACGAAAAAUAAUGCAGCAGCUGAUGGAGCGGAACCCUGAGAUCAGCCACAUGCUCAACAACCCUGAACUCAUGAGGCAGACAAUGGAGCUUGCUCGGAAUCCAGCCAUGAUGCAAGAAAUGAUGCGGAACCAGGAUCGGGCCCUGAGCAACCUUGAGAGCAUCCCUGGAGGGUAUAAUGCCCUCCGCCGCAUGUACACGGGAGCCCAUGUUCAGCGCUGCCCGGGAACAGUUUGGCAACAAUCCCUUCUCUUCCCUGGCCGGGAACUCCGACAGCUCAUCCUCCCAGCCUCUGCGGACUGAGAAUCGAGAGCCUCUCCCUAACCCCUGGAGCCCCUCGCCCCCCACCUCCCAGGCCCCCGGCUCCGGUGGGGAGGGCACCCGAGGAUCGGGGACCAGCCAGGUGCACCCGACAGUCUCGAACCCCUUUGGGAUCAAUGUGGCUAGCCUGGGAUCAGGGAUGUUCAAUAGCCCAGAAAUGCAAGCCCUCCUCCAGCAGAUCUCUGAAAACCCCCAGCUGAUGCAGAAUGUGAUCUCAGCACCCUACAUGCGCAGCAUGAUGCAGACGCUUGCCCAGAACCCCGACUUUGCUGCUCAGAUGAUGGCGAAUGUGCCGCUCUUCGCGGGGAACCCCCAACUGCAGGAGCAGCUCCGCCUGCAGCUCCCAGUCUUCCUGCAGCAGAUGCAGAACCCAGAGUCACUCUCCAUCCUUACCAAUCCCCGAGCCACGCAGGCAUUGCUGCAGAUCCAGCAGGGUCUACAGACCUUGCAGACCGAGGCCCCUGGGCUGGUACCCAGCCUUGGCUCCUUUGGGAUGUCCCGGAUCCCAGCAUCUUCAGCAGGCAGCAAUGCCGGGUCUAUGCCCGAGGCCCCCACUUCCUCGCCAGCCACGCCAGCCACAUCUUCUCCAACAGGGGCUUCCAGUGCCCAGCAGCAGCUCAUGCAGCAGAUGAUCCAGCUUUUGGCUGGAAGUGGAAACUCACAGGUGCAGACUCCAGAAGUGAGAUUUCAGCAGCAGCUGGAGCAGCUCAACUCCAUGGGCUUCAUCAAUCGUGAGGCCAACCUGCAGGCCCUGAUUGCUACAGGAGGGGACAUCAACGCAGCUAUUGAGAAACUGCUGGGCUCCCAGCUCUCCGAAUCCCUCGGCCCAUGCCUCCUGCCUCUCCCCUCCCUCGAUGUCAGCGUUUGGUUCUUCUGUCAACCCUUACCCUCUGCAGCUUGUCAUCCCUUCCGUCUUCUCCCUCAUCCUCUCCAAACAGCAGGGUGACUUUAGAGGCAUGGGCUCCAACCCCUUAGCUCUGUCUGAGAAUUAUGGUUUUACUGCUACAUCUCUAACAGAAUCUUCUCUCCUGGUCUCCUUGAGAUGUGUUACUUAAAUAGUUUUCACAGUUUCAUUGAUUGACUCUACCUCCUUGCCCCACACCACCUUUUGCAAUCUUUAAACUUUCAGUGGCUGUGCAGAGUUGAAGGAGGAGCCAGCUGUCUGGUUUACUGGAACAUAGUCUUCCAUCUACACCACUAGGGUUUUGUCUUAUGUUUAUUUUUGGUAACUCUCUUCCUUCUUUUUCUCCCUACUCCCCACCCCUAGCCCAACCAAUGCUAGAAUUUCUUGCUCUGAAGGAGGAGCAGGUGAAACACGUGAUGAUUUUCCUCCUCGGCCCCUAUUCUGGUCACUUCAUUCAGCACUUUUUCGUGGGCAUUGUUGGGACUUCCAGGGUAAAGAGGAAGACGCUCGUUCUCUCUGUCUGAAGAGGGAGAUGAGACAGCCCUCUGGACAGGAAUUAACAAACCCUGGACCAGCCCAGCGGAAACUGGUGUGAAAGAGGAAGGAAUGAGAUUAUUCAGAGGAAGGGAAUAGGGGAGACAGCCUGAGUAAAAGGCUUGGAAGUUGGAAUUGGGGAGCAGAAGCACUCAUAGCUCUUUUAGGCAGAAGAAUCCAGGCCCAAGCUGGCAGAAGAGACUUAGAGAUGCUAAUGGAAUUUGAACUGAAGAAAGGCGCUCAAUGAAGCUAAGCGCCAUGCCCCACGAGGGGUCAUAUUGGCUUUAUUUCCUCAAACACACGUGCUUAUAUGCACACACACACACAUUUCCACGGACCCAGGACUUGCUUGUGUCCCCAGGCACCAGUAAUUUGAGCCCCCCUCCAAAGACAUGAAGGGGGUUGGGGUCUGUGUGAGUAGUGGGGAGGUGUGUGUGUAUCCGCAUGUGUCCUUACACUCUUAAGUUGUGUGGGAAGUGGAUUCUUUGUUGGUUUCCGGUUCAGAGUGCUUUCCCACUACCAGAGACAAGUGGGUAAAAGGGUCAGUCCAUUGCAGGAAUACAGGAGAGCUAGGUCCCUUGGGGCUCUGGAUGCUGGGUAACCCAGAGGUAAUGUGGGUAUCCUUUCAGAAGCUGUCAGAGCUGUGACUAGCACCCUUAUCACCCCUUACUGCCUUGUGGCAAUAGUAGAGGGUGUUUUUUUUCGUCCAGAGCCCCUGGGCUUUCAGUUUUUAACUAUUUCCCUCCAGGCCAGAAAGUUUUCUUUAAGAAAGGAGAGGAGAGGGUGGCAAUGAUGCCUUUGAUCUGGAAUUGGACAUUGCUCUGUCAGAGCACGGAGGAGGCUCAUAUCACUUCUUCCCUCUACUUGGCCCAGCUGCUUGGAGGACCGACCCCAUGGCUGAGAAUAUGACGGCAAGAGGAACAGAGUUUGCUUCAAGUGGGAAAGGGUCCCAAGCAGUCCAGAGAAGAUGUCUGUGUGGCUUUCCCUCCCUACCUCCCCCAGCUCCCACACUGGCCUUUGUAAAUAAAUGGCAUGGUCUUUGU